rnacentral:lncRNA from 1 species
AGUGCAGAGGAACACACACUUGCUCCGGUAGGGGCAGAACACGAGUUUUCUCUCUGCCCUCCAACCUUCUUAGCUGAGACUCCCUGUAACAAAGACCGAGUAAGAAGAGAAAAACAAACAGAAGUUUAUUAGUAUGUGUAGCUCGUGUGCACUUGGGAGGCACCCAGAGAACUGAGUAUGUCUCUGGAGUUGAUCUCAAACAGGUAGUUUAAACUUCAGGCUUAGAAACCUUCUCCAUGGUUCAGGAGUCUAGAGAUCUAGUCGUUCUUCUCUCUCUGGUGCAGAGAGGAAGGCACCCUUACAAAUGGACAGUUCCUUUAUUGACGGACAUUUCCUUUACAAAAUGUGAUUUUGUAUAUCUGUACUGGGAGCUGGAGGGAGAGUGAAAUACGUAACCCUGAGAGUGAAAGUUAGAAAAAUCUACGUGAAUCACAGAGGCAUUUGCCAAGAUCGGCUCAGAGAAAAGAACAUCAUGGUGGCUCACUCCUGUAAUCCCAGUGCUUUGGGAGGCUGAGGCUGGAGGAUUGCUUGAGGCCAGGAGUUCGAGACCAGCUUGACAACAUAGCAAGACUCCGUCUCUACACAAAUGGCUAUAGCCCCAGCUACUUGGAAGGCCGAGGUGGGAGAAUCGCUUGAGCCCAGGAGGUUGAGGUUGCAGUGAGCCAUAACUGCACCACCGCACUCCAGCCUGAGCAGCAGAGUGAGACUCUGUCUCAAAAAAUAAAUAAAAAUUAAAAAAAGGACAUCAGGUUCAGCA